UCUCCUACGGGGGGCAGCAGUCGGGAAUAUUGCGCAAUGGAGGAAACUCUGACGCAGUGACGCCGCGUAUAGGAAGAAGGUUUUCGGAUUGUAAACUAUUGUCGUUAGGGAAGAGAAAGGACAGUACCAAGGAGGAAGCUCCGGCUAACUACGUGCCAGCAGCCGCGGUAAUACGUAGGUGGCAAGCGUUGUCCGGAUUUACUGGGUGUAAAGGGCGUGUAGCCGGGCUGACAAGUCAGAUGUGAAAUCCGGGGGCUCAACCCCCGAACUGCAUUUGAAACUGCAGUUCUUGAGUGAUGGAGAGG
rnacentral:rRNA from 1 species